rnacentral:rRNA from 1 species
GGUCAGGUAGGGUGGUCCGUCCUCUGGGCGUGUACUGCCAUUGCCUGGCCUAACCUUCUGGCGAACUGGUCAGUUCCGCUGGUCAGCUAGCCAGGACUUUUACUUUGAAAAAAUUAGAGUGUUCAAAGCAGGCUUACGCUUGAAUACAUUAGCAUGGAAUAAUAGAAUAGGACUUUGGUUCUAUUUUGUUGGUUUCUAGGACCAAAGUA